rnacentral:tRNA from 1 species
GGUCAUGGCUCAGCGGUAGAGCGCUCACCUAGCAUGUGUGAAGCCCUGGGUUCGAGCCUUAGCACCA